UACGAAGGGGGCUAGCGUUGCUCGGAAUCACUGGGCGUAAAGCGCACGUAGGCGGCUUUCUAAGUCAGGGGUGAAAUCCUGGAGCUCAACUCCAGAACUGCCUUUGAUACUGGAGAGCUUGAGUCCGGAAGAGGUGAGUGGAACUCCGAGUGUAGAGGUGAAAUUCGUAGAUAUUCGGAAGAACACCAGUGGCGAAGGCGGUUCGUCUGGGACGGUACUGACGCUGAGAC
rnacentral:rRNA from 1 species